rnacentral:lncRNA from 1 species
CUCGGCUUGGAGCUGAUCUUUAACUUCUGGAAACUGAAUUGGUUCUACAGAGUCUGGCUCUGUUGCCCAGGCUGAAGUGCAAUGGUGCAAUCAGAAUUUACUGCAACCUCGACCUCCUGGGCUCAAGUGAUCCUCCUGACUCACUCAGCUUCCUAAGUAGCUGGGACUACUGCCAUCAUAAUGUGAAGAAGCCGAAGCAGCCUGUGAAGAGGCGCUAGUGGAAAGGAACUCAGGUGCCCCUGCCCUCAGUCCCAGCUGAACUCUCAGCUGACAGCCAUCACCAACUUGCCAGCCACAGGAGUGAGCCAACUUGAGAGUGGAUCUUUCAGUCCCAGUGGAGCCAUCUCAGCUGACACACCAUGGUAAAAAGAUGAACCAUCCUUGCUGAUCCUUGCCAGUGCUGCAGAUACAUAAGCAAAAUAAAUGUUUUUGUUGUUUUAAGC